GAUCCUCCCACCUUAGCCUCCCAAAUACCUGGGACCACAGGCAUGCACCCUUGCACACCGCUAGUUUUUUUAGGUGUUGAGCCACCACUUCCGGCUCCAAGGUCACAGCUCUGGCUACACUUUCUCUGUGAAGCUGACGCUCAGGUCCGAAUGUGGCUGGCUGCCCGUCCUGUGACUCCUCCACUGCUGGGCCCACCUGGAGCUGGAGUCUGUCACCAUGCAACUGCCUUCUUGUCUGCUGUCCUCUACAGACUCCUGCAUCACCCAGAGCCUGAGGUGUUGAGCCUGGAUUCUUCAAGUUAGGAUCAAAUGAAAUAUUAUUUUCUUCCUGGAAAAAAGCAAAAGAAGAGUUUUGCUGUCACCCAGGCUGGAGUGCAAUGGCG